UGAGGAAUAUUGGUCAAUGGGCGAAAGCCUGAACCAGCCAUGCCGCGUGAAGGACGAAGGCCCUAUGGGUCGUAAACUUCUUUUGUAUAGGGCGAAACGAAUAUUUAAUAUAUGCAUUGACGGUACUAUACGAAUAAGCAUCGGCUAACUCCGUGCCAGCAGCCGCGGUAAUACGGAGGAUGCGAGCGUUAUCCGGAUUUAUUGGGUUUAAAGGGUUCGUAGGCGGCUUUGUAAGUCAGCGGUGAAAUACCAACGCUCAACGUUGGGGCUGCCGUUGAUACUGCUGGGCUUGAGAUGGAUCGACGAUGGCGGAAUGUGACAAGUAGCGGUGAAAUGCAUAGAUAUGUCACAGAACACCGAUAGCGAAGGCAGCUGUCGAGGUCAUCAUCUGACGCUGAGGAACGAAAGCGUGGGGAUCAAACA
rnacentral:rRNA from 1 species